rnacentral:rRNA from 1 species
UACAGAGGGGGCAAGCGUUAUUCGGAAUUAUUGGGCGUAAAGGGCGCGUAGGCGCCCUGGCAAGUGGAAGGUGAAAUCCCUCGGCUUAACCGAGGAACUGCCUUCCAAACUGCUUGGCUUGAGUCCGGGAGAGGUGAGUGGAAUUCCCAGUGUAGCGGUGAAAUGCGUAGAUAUUGGGAGGAACACCAGUGGCGAAGGCGGCUCACUGGACCGGAACUGACGCUGAUGCGCGAAAGCGUGGGGAGCAAACGGG